ACCGUUUAUCUGAAGUUAAUAAGGAAUGAAAUAGUUGCUUAUAAAUUGAUAAAUUUUUCUUAUUUGUUACGUGAAAAGAAGGAAUAAUAUGGCUCAAAUCCCACGUUAUUUUUAUGCUUUCAUCAUCUUUCUUUAUCUAUUUCAUGUUGCAACCACUAACCGCUUCUUAUAUCGAAUUGGCUGUGAUACUAGCAAUGAUUGUCCAAGUUACAUGUGCCCCCCUCCUCUAUCUCCACGGUGCACUAAAUUUUAUUGUAAAUGCAUAUAAGAAAAACUAAUCAUAUGUUACUUUUAUGCAUGUAACUAUAUUUGUAAGUCAUAAUGUCGGUACUACUAUAAUUUCUAUCAAAUCUUUAUUUAGGCUUGUUUGAAUUUUCAAUUUAUUUGAGAAUACAAAAAGUGUAUUGUAUAUUAUAUAAUUAUUUUAAUUUUAUUCACUCUUGUAAGAAGUGGAGAAUUGAAUAAAUAAUUAUAUACGUUCAAUUUAUUCAAAUUUGUUAUGAAUAUUACAAGUGGAUGUCCAUAUAGCAAUUGGGUUAUUGGAUCAUACUGUUAGUUUAUUGAACCUUAUUGUGCUUGCUCCCCAAGUCAUUGUAUUUCUCUAUAAAUAGAGCUCAUAUGUAACCUAAUUAUACAUCA